rnacentral:rRNA from 1 species
AUGAUUGAAGAAUCAGAACGUCAUUUCGAAAUAAUAAUGAACAGACCAACACUUGAGGAAAUGAACAAGCCUUCCCACAUUGGCGGUUGCCUUCCUAUUUGGGGGAUCAUUUAUCUGGAUUUCGUUGACUUUGAUGUCAUCGAGAACCACCAGUCAACUAUUGAUUAUUCUCUACCCCGGAUCAGCCACAUUAAGAAUGCUGACUUCCAAUACCUAGCUUUGGUUGAUAGGAAUUAUGAGUCUAGGAAAGCGUUUGGAGUACUACCAUUAUACUAA